GACAUCAAGAAACAGAGUAUAAGACACACAAAGAUGGAGAUCCUUGUCAGUUUCUUAUGGCAACAUGUUAAAAGAAAAUCCUCCAGUUCAAUCUGAUCAACCUCCAUUAUACCCAGCGGUGGAAUAAGUAUUCAGAUCCUCUAAGUAAAACACUUUGCAAGUGUAUUAUUAUCAGAAAAAUUUAGUUAAAGUAUCAAAAGUAAGUAAGUACUCAUUAGCUGAAGAAACUGAAUUUCUGAAGCUAAACUGGAUUUCUGGCAUUAAAAGUUGAAUAGUACCAAUAAUGGUUUAAGGAUUGUUAAAAAGGUGACGCCAAACUGGAUUGUUGGCUUUAAGUUGUAUGAAGAAGCAGCUGAAGGAGUUUGAAUAGUUGGAAAUAGGGGAAAGGGUGGAAGUAGUAUGAAUGGGAUUUAAAAGUUGAAUAAUACCCAUGAUGUAUAAAGAUUUUAAGGUUUGAAUGGAGUUUCUAGCUGAAAUACAUGAAAAAGUUGAAUUAAUGUGAGAAAGUCCCAAGUGUCGUGAAGAUAUGAGUUGAAAAAGUUUAGAACGGAGUAUGAAGAGUUGGAAAAGUGGAAAAUUAGUAGGCCUGGGAUUUAAAAGUUGAAUGCUGCCCCAUAAUGUAUGAAAAAUGUGGAGCAUUUUAAGGUUUGAAUGUUUAUUUGUUGAGUUUGUAGUUGAAAAUAUGAAGUAGAUAAAUCUUAAUAAAAUACUUGACAAUUUUUGAAAAUGUCUAAGACCUGUGUGUCAAACUGACUCAUCUCAAAUCAGCUGUGUGUCCCCAAUCAAAGGUUAUGUGUAUGUGUGUGUGUGGGUGCCUGCUCGGACACACAUGUAUGCCUACAUGUGUUUCUCCUAUACUGUAUGGUUGGGCUCUUAUUUGGAAAAACUGGGUCCAUCGCUAGUUUCCUGGUAACAUACAGCGACCGCUGGGCGCUUUUUUACAAGGCUCAUUCUGAGCUUCCUGUUAGAAUACAGAUAUUCUAUGGAGCUUUUAUUUUGAAAAAAGAGCCCCAUCCUGAGUUCCCUGUUGAGAUACAGUUACUGUCUGAGGCUUUUAUUAUGAAAAACUAAUCCUAGGUUCCUAAUAACAUACAGUGACAGUUGGGAACUUUUAUUUUGAAAAGCCUGGCUCAUCCUGACUUUCCUGUUAUGAUAAGGUUACCAUCUUGGGCUUUUAAUUUGAAAAUCGGAAAUUACACUGUGUGUGUGUAAGUUAUUAUUUGAAAGAAUACAUUAAUAAAUGACCCUUGUUCUAGUAGGUUAUUUCUUAUUUCACCAUUUUAAUUCUACUUAAUUCUCCACCUUAUUUUAGUGUUUACUCACAAAGUACUUUAAUCUGCUCUAUUGUAAGUGAACGCCGUUCAGAGUAACUUCAAAGUAUGAAUUAAGCAAUAAUACAUGAGAGGGCGUGCUUUACCGUCAUUAUUGGCACAAUAAGUGCACGGCAAGUGCCUCAGUCCUGAUUGCAUCACUGCAGAGCAUCACUGAAGUGCCAUUAAAGAUGGCUGUAAAGCUCACCCUCUUGUGUAAUAUUGCCAUUAUAGAAUGGUUACCAACAAAAUAAAAGAUAUAAUCAAAAUGUAUUCAUAUUGUGGGGCAAUUUGCUCUCAAAAUUAUUUAUUUUUUUUGCUAGUGUUAUCUGUUUCCCUGGAAAUACAUGGGGUCUGACUAAUAACUGGAAAACAAUCAGUCACGUCAGUAGACUCCCAUGUAAUGAAACCAAGUUUACUACUCCAGCAAGUAGGCCAAACCUUAGUAAUGACCUAGCAACAGAGAGGAUUUUUAGUCCCUGUUGAGUCAGCCAGCCAACUUGAGCUAACGGUAAUGCUUUCUAGAGAUUGUGGGAUUUCCCAAACUACAUACCACACAUAAACACAAAACUGCCUUGCUAUAAUCUUGUCGUAACUAAGAUAUCUAGUGAAUUUUUUUCCCCGAUGGACAGAUUUAGCUACGACGUCCGCAAACUUCACAUGUAUUUUUAAGCUAGUAGUGCCGUGUCACAGACUCACCGGCACAGCUGAUGGAGGAUAGAGUGUCUAGUAACAUCAAGACUGAACAGAGUUUCCGUGUGAUCCAAACAUUUCCAAUAAUAACUCCAAAAGUCAAUAAAAAAAAGAUAGAUUCACAACAUAUUUUUAUCUAACGAAAUAUUCUGUUUCAAUGCAUAUUUGUUGCUGUUUAGCCUUUCAAAAACAAAAUUUUCACUGCGGUCACAAAAUUGUUUGCUCUCUGGCUUGCCACACACAAGGGAGGCACACACCUGUAUUAACGGGGCGGUCUAGCAGCAAUUUAACAGCAUCAUAAAAUAUAUUCAUUAAAGAAAGUUGAUUUAAUUAUUCUUUGUAAUAGUUGCAAAAUCCACAGCUUGCUUAGUGUUUUUCAGAUAGUCCUGGAAACAUUUGACAGCCCAUGAAGUUUACCGGAAGGUACUGACUUAAUUCCUAGACUUCUCUAAUUGAUUGAGCUCUUAAUUUGACAAUGCGACACAUCUCUCGUUUUUUGGUUUUCUGUUCUUCUCAUCCUCUUCCAACCAUUAAUCAAAACUAAGUCCACCAUAUAAAUUAAAAUUAACAACAAAAAUAUUCAUUUUGUAUCAGUAUUGUAGCCUACUGGUUUUUGCUCCAGCUCUGGCAGUUACAAUGUUUCCAUGGAAAUGACGGAGUAAUAUUCUUAGUGAUGAGCACAGUGUGCUGUCAUGCUGAUUUGAUCACGUUCUAAAUGUAUAGUUGACCAAUAAGAUUGCUUGGUCAGAACCACUUGUUGUAUAAUGGGAUUUAAAAGUAGUAUAGACCUCAUAUUGCAUGAACGAUGUGGAACACUUGUACAGUAGUUCAUAUCUUAAGUAUGAAUUAAGAGAUAAGACUUGAAAAAGUGUGAGGAUGUCUAGCUCCUGUAUAUGUGUGUGUAUCAAACUGCACUAAUUAGCUCAUCUCAAUCAGCUGUGUGUCUCCCCUGAGAUCAAAGGUUGCCAUGGUGAUGCUAACUGCUGUGUGUGACUCCAGGCUCAGAGAGUUCAUAUCUUUUAGAUCUUAUAGAUUUUAGUUGAGGCACACCUCUCAAAGUUCUGCUUUUAGCUCAAAGACCGUAACUCUUAUCGCCUAAGUUAAAACACUGUAAGAGAGAGGAGACACUGCUGAAGGGACUGUGUAAGAUUUGUGUGUGUAGUGUCAAAAUUUGGGAAUUAGAGCAGGUUAGAAAUGUCCCCGUUUCUGCCUCCCUCCUGAAAAUUAUGGUCUCAGUUAAUAUGGAAGUCUGUGCGGCAGUUGGCUGGGAGUGCUGUCACUUUGAAGCUGACUGUGCCAACUGUGUGAGUCUGUUUGAUUCCAUAGUUUCAUGUUUGCGACAGGCACAAAUUUUCCUACGGUUUGAUGUAAAAUUAUGUAUGAAGAGUGAAAAUUGUGGGUAUAACAGCAAAUUAAAGAGAAAUUUUUAAGAAGAUUUUAAAGCUCCUCUGCACUCUAGCUAUGAACAUUCCACCCAAUACACACUAAUGCAAAAAUCUCAGAAGGGCUGAAAAUUGUCAACUCACAAAAUGGCCUCUAAACUUAUAGAUCUAUGAAAAGCAGUGCAGUUUCUUUGUUGUGGUCUGUUGUGGAUUCGUCCAGGAAUGCUAGCUACAAACGACACUCAGAGCAUCAUGCUCGCUCCACCAUCCCUCAUCUGUUCAUCUUUCCCACCAUGCUUCAGGUAACAUCCCAUGGACUGGUGAGCACAAACUAAUAUUGCAUAUGGGUUGUUUUUUUUUUUGUAGUUUGCACUAGCAGGUGAAGCUGCCAUUUGUUUUAGGCCGUAAGCUCCCGAGCCACACUUAGGCCUACAUUGUGUUUUUGUUUUUAAAGCACAUACUUUUUUUUUAUUUCAGUUGCAGUGAGAGUGUGGUAGCAAGUGAAAGGUUAUUUUCCAAACUGAAUUUAAAGGGUAAUUUGUGAAAAUGUGAGUGAAAAUUUAACUUUUUGGAUAAGGUCCAGAGUUAUAAGGGAAACACACUUGACUCUUCUAGAAUACAACAUUAUAGAAAUACAUAUUUUAAUUUUAUACUUAUAUCCACUUGGUACUUAAUUUAUCUUGCCUGUAUUAUAGUGUAUUAUAUUCUGAUUUGCUUAGAACUUCUAUCCCUGUGUGCACUGACGUGAUAGUGAGCAGCUGUAACAAAAGAGUUUCAAUAAAGUAUUUCUGAUUCUGAUAUUAUCUGAAUAUAUAGUAUAGAAAGUAGUUAAAAAUAGCUUUUCUUUGACCAGCCACAACAUAACAUGCUGCAUCCACAAUAAUGCAUCUGUAAUAAUAACCUCAUAAUAUAAUUUCACACUGACAGAGGUCAUUCUUCUGCCAAUGGAGUACUUUUACUUUAGUAUAAUUUUUCUGCUAAUACUACUGUACUUUAACCUAAGAUUUUGAACACAGAUUUUACCUACAGGUAUUGCUACUUUUACUUAAGUAAAAGACCUGAAUAUAUAGACUGAAUGUUUAUUGUCCAGUUGGUGUGAACUUUAAUCAUACAGCAUUUACCUGUGGAAAAAACAAUAUUGUGCCUGCCCACAUACUCUGUUAACUCGUUUCAUCUUUUGUUUCUUAUUACCCUUCCUCCAUUUAUUGUCACAUUUAGAUUGGUCAAGAUCCUGGCAACAGCUGUAAAGUGUUCUUCUGUGCCAUGUAAGUAAUUUCAAUGUAAUAUUUUGGUGGGAGGGGCUUAGCAGAGUGAUACAAGCAGCAGAGAGAGACGUGGAAGGUUUUGCGUGUAUGUUCAGACUGCCUACUGCAGCUUUAAUACACUGUGAUUUACUGGAAAGGCUGAAAUGCUCACAACUCAAGUCUCUAAUGUUGAAAUUAUAUUCAUCCAUCCGUCUAUCUCUCUAUCUGACUGUCUGUGUGUCUUUGCCCCCCCACCCCACAUCUAUCCAUCACACAGGCUUGCUUGAGGAGGGUGCCACAAGAUUCGCUCAUGGCCACUUUCUGCAAACAGGUCCCGCCUUAUUUCUUAGUUAGUUCAUGCACAGUAUGUACGUUACAUGAGUUACUUGUUAGUUUGUUAAAAUUAAUUCUUAUAACCGAUAUUCAUGGUGUCAUUUUUAACUGAAAACGUAACACAUGAAUGGAUGUUAUGGGGGUAGACAUGGGGUAAUGCAGGGGUGGAGAGAAAGAUUCAGAACACAAAAUAAAAUUCUGUGUUAAAUUUAAUAUACACUUACUUAAUGUAACUAAUAAACUAAUAUUGCAUUGGUAAAGGGAAGGGCCCUUGUUUUUAUUAAAUAUAUGUGGUUUUGUAUUACUAAUUAAACAUUUUCUACUUCUGGCAGUAUACAGGAUUGGGGUAGCUCUGGCAGACCCAGACUUGGACCAGUGUAGGCCAGGUCUGCCAUUUUUGUUGGGGUGAUUGCGGCCCUAUUCCGGCAAUGUCGGUUCAGUUUCAGCAGCCAGACCAGUGUACCUCAGAAUCAGAAAAACUUUAUUGAUCCCCGAAGGGAAACUCUUUGUUACAGCAGCUCGCCUUUACGUCAGUGCACACAGGAGAAAGUACUAGCAAAAAAAUAUAAUACA